rnacentral:rRNA from 1 species
GCACAAGCGGCGGAGCAUGCGGAUUAAUUCGAUGCAACGCGAAGAACCUUACCAAGGCUUGACAUACACCGGUAACGCCCAGAGAUGGGUGCCCCUUUGUGGUCGGUGUACAGGUGGUGCAUGGUUGUCGUCAGCUCGUGUCGUGAGAUGUUGGGUUAAGUCCCGCAACGAGCGCAACCCUCGUCCUAUGUUGCCAGCGGGUCAUGCCGGGGACUCAUGGGAGACUGCCGGGGUCAACUCGGAGGAAGUGGGGAUGACGUCAAAUCAUCAUGCCCCUUAUGUCUUGGGCUUCACGCAUGCUACAAUGGCCGGUACAAAGGGCUGCGAUACCGCGAGGUGGAGCGAAUCCCAGAAAGCCGGUCUCAGUUCGGAUUGGGGUCCGCAACUCGACCCCAUGAAGUCGGAGUCGCUAGUAAUCGCAGAUCAGCAACGCUGCGGUGAAUACGUUCCCGGGCCUU